CACGGGGUUGCGAGCGUUGUCCGGAAUUACUAGGCGUAAAGGGCAGGCAGGCGGAUCCAUAAGUUUAUCGUUUAAGGCGUCGGCUUAACCGGCGUAGGGCGGUAGAUACUGUGGAUCUGGAAUGCGGUUGGGGAAGACAGAAUUCCUGGUGUAGCGGUGGAAUGCGCAGAGAUCAGGAGGAAUACCGAAGGCGAAGGCAGUCUUCCAAGCCGUUAUUGACGCUCAACUGCGAAGGUGUGGGUAUCAAACAGGAUUAGAUACCCUGGUAGUCCCUGA
rnacentral:rRNA from 1 species